rnacentral:rRNA from 1 species
CAUGUGUAAGUAUAAAUAUUUGACUUUGAAACUGCGAAUGGCUCAUUAUAUCAGUUAUAGUUUAUUUGAUGAAUAAUACUACUUGGAUAACCGUAGUAAUUCUAGAGCUAAUACAUGAUAAAAUCCUCGACUUUGAAGAGGUGUAUUUAUUAGAAUGAAACCAAGAGACUUCGGUCUAUUUGUGAGUAAUAAUAACUAAUCGUAUCGCAUGCUUAGGUAGCGAUAUGUCUUUCAAGUUUCUGCCCUAUCAGCUUUGGAUGGUAGUGUAUUGGACUACCAUGGCAGUAACGGGUAACGAAGAAUUUGGGUUCGAUUUCGGAGAGGGAGCCUGAGAGAUGGCUACCACAUCCAAGGAAGGCAGCAGGCGCGUAAAUUACCCAAUCCUGACAUAGGGAGGUAGUGACAAUAAAUCACAAUGCGGAACUAUUAGUUUUGCAAUUGGAUUGAGAACAAUGUACAAAUGUUAUCGAUAAACAAUUGGAGGGCAAGUCUGGUGCCAGCAGCCGCGGUAAUUCCAGCUCCAAUAGCGUAUAUUAACGUUGUU